rnacentral:rRNA from 1 species
UACGUAGGGUGCAAGCGUUGUCCGGAAUUAUUGGGCGUAAAGAGCUCGUAGGCGGUCUGUCGCGUCGGCUGUGAAAACUCGGGGCUCAACCCCGAGCCUGCAGUCGAUACGGGCAGACUAGAGUGCGGUAGGGGAGACUGGAAUUCCUGGUGUAGCGGUGAAAUGCGCAGAUAUCAGGAGGAACACCGGUGGCGAAGGCGGUUCUCUGGGCAUGUCCUGACGCUGAGGAGCGAAAGUGUGGGGAGCGAACAGG